AUAUUGGUCAAUGGGCGAGAGCCUGAACCAGCCAAGUAGCGUGAAGGAUGACUGCCCUAUGGGUUGUAAACUUCGUUUAUUCGGGACGAAACAAAUGACGGUACCGAAUGAAUAAGGAACGGCUAACACCGUGCCAGCAGCCGCGGUAAUACGGAGGAUCCGAGCGUUAUCCGGAUUUAUUGGGUUUAAAGGGAGCGUAGAUGGAUGUUUAAGUCAGUUGUGAAAGUUUGCGGCUCAACCGUAAAAUUGCAGUUGAUACUGGAUAUCUUGAGUGCAGUUGAGGCAGGCGGAAUUCGUGGUGUAGCGGUGAAAUGCUUAGAUAUCACGAAGAACGCCGAUUGCGAAGGCAGCCUGCUAAGCUGCAACUGACAUUGAGGCUCGAAAGUGUGGGUAUCAAA
rnacentral:rRNA from 1 species